rnacentral:rRNA from 1 species
GCGGUGGAGCAUGUGGUUAAUUCGACGCAACGCGAAGAACCUUACCAGGGCUUGACAUCCCCUGACCGCGUAUGAAAGUACGUUUUCACCCUCGGGUGACAGGGAGACAGGUGGUGCAUGGUUGCCGUCAGCUCGUGUCGUGAGAUGUUGGGUUAAGUCCCGCAACGAGCGCAACCCCUACGUUUAGUUGCUAACAGGUGAAGCUGAGCACUCUAGACGAACUGCCGUUGACAAAACGGAGGAAGGUGGGGAUGACGUCAAAUCAUCAUGCCCCUUAUGUUCUGGGCUACACACGUGCUACAAUGGCCGGUACAGACGGAGGCGAAGCCGCGAGGCGGAGCAAAUCCGAAAAAGCCGGUCUCAGUUCGGAUUGCAGGCUGCAAUUCGCCUGCAUGAAGUCGGAAUCGCUAGUAAUCGCAGGUCAGCAUACUGCGGUGAAUACGUUCCCGGGCCUU